AUCCAGUACAAAAUAGACAUCAACCUGGCAAAGUCUCAUAUUCCAACCUAAAUAUACCCUCGCCACAGAUCAAUCAUGGCAACUGGCACUAUUGAUUAAAUCGCAGGUAUGAUACAUGUAUCUUGUUCAAAAUACAAUAUAUUUGGGGCAUUAAGAUCACUUGAUACAGAAAGUAAAGUGCACUCUAUAGGAUAUUUUUGGCAUGCCUCAUCACGCUUGGCGUCCUCUUAUUGGUUUAUUUUUUUUAUGCUUUUUUAAAGUACCACCAAGUUGGGGGUAGGGGUUUAGAAUUUACGUACAAAUGCUCACGUUAAAAAAAAUAAUAAUAAUAGCUGGAGAAUGUGAUUCUCAAAUAAGCUUAUUAUUCCAUUAGACUUCUAGUAGUUAAAUUACUCAGGAGAGUCUCUAUGUUUCCAAGGGUUCUACAAUAUAUGUGCUAAGAUACCAACGUAAAAUAGUGUAAUUCACAAGAAAAGAGGAAGCAGAACCCCUAAAAAGUGUGCUCCUGUAUUACUUGCAAGCAGUACACAAAAACAAGUAGAACCAUUUAUUGUUUUCUCCUUUCUUUUUUUUUCUUUAACUCUUUACAGAAAAAGUAGAAAAUCUUAAAUAUAACUGACAUGGAUUAAAUUGUGACUAUUUACAAUCAGAUAUUGUAAAAUGGUAAAUUAGAUAUGAAGCUAAAAAGGCACGGCUUUCCCUUUUCCUUAAAUACACUGUAAACAGUUUGUAUUCCAUGCAAAACAUUUCACUCUACAAAAAGAAAUUGCCUUAUUUAGGCAAAGAUAGUACUUAAAUAGUCUCCAUCAAAAUAGAAUUCUUUCAAAAAUACUUUCCUAUACUUUCCAUUCAUCUUCUGUCUGUAAAUAUGUUUUUUCCUCAUUUACAAAAUUUCCAUACAUUUUGUGAUUCAGGUCCUUCACAAUUUAUACAUAUAGAGCAAUAUACAGUACAGCGUGGACUGCCAAAAUUAUUUGUAAAGCCAGCACAAUAUACAGUAGCUACUAUAAAUUGAGAUAGGGCAUUUGUUUUAACAUCAUAUCAUUUUCCUCUCAUUUAAAUAAAUGACUAAGUUACACACUAGGAUUCAUGUAAAAAUUGCAGAGUUCUCCUAUGGUACAGGAAUCUGGACUAUGUCUUGGUGGAAAAUCGUGCACUGAGCGUGCAUGAUCACCUCUCACUAUGCAACAAACGUUAAAACAAUCCCAAUCCUUAAUCUACAGUAUGAUUGAUAACAUGGGACAACAAAUGCCAUGGAUGGGAUGUGAAUAUUAAACAUCAAAUGUUCCUUAUAUUUCUUUUAUACAACAUGUUUCUUUUUAUUAUUAUUUUUCUGUACAAGAAAAGAAUAUGUAAUGCCCCAUAUUAACUGUACACUGUGUGUGCAAACCAAGGGAAGUCUUUUAAAAAGUCCUUAUUUGUCCAUAACCCCAUAAAAACAAACAAAACCCAGAAACUCCAUAGCAUAUUUAAAACUUCAUUAUGUUAAAAUAUCAAAAUUAAACAGUUUUUGAUUAGAUAUGGCUUUUUAUCCAUAGAAACAGGAGCAAGUUUCAACUGUUUGGGUAGGUACAGCUUUCAUUAUUUCCAUUUACACCAUUUUCAGUCCCCAAUCAGUCAGAGGAUUAUUUACUUUUGUUUGUUUGUUUUUCAUCCAGCUGACAAAUAAAACAUUAUUCAUAAUGUCUAAUAUUGUUUCUUCAGUCCUGCUUGGGUAUGGAACAUCAGAGGAAACUUAAGGCAAAGUUCUCCUUUAAGACUUUUCUAGAUACUUUCUGUGAAAGUACAAAGGCUUGGCAUUCCCAGACUCCACCUUUGGUAAUUGAUCACUAAUUAUCUCCACAAGCAUCGCAGGAAACUCCACCUUUAGCGCCUGAGAUUCCCUAAAUGUAUAGAAGCAGAAUUCCAACAAGUCGCCAACAACCUGAAAACAAACAAGAAAAAAAACAUAUUUAGGUAAAAAACAAACAGUGGUAAUUAAGAAGAAUCUGAUGUUUUUUAAAACAUGCAUACAUUAUGUUUUCAUAAGUUGCUAUUAACAAUAAGCAGUACUUUACACCACAUAUUCAAACUAAACGAGCUGUCCAAAUGCUGGGAAGAGGUUUAUUGAAAAUGUUCAGGACUCUGAAAAAGAUUGGGAUUGCAAGAUUUGUGUGAUAGAUGUCUGAGGAGAGCCAAUUGCUGAAACAUAGAAACAUAGAAUGUGACGGCAGAUAAGAACCAUUCGGCCCAUCUAGUCUGCCCAAUUUUCUAAAUACUUUCAUUAGUCCCUUACUCUAUCUUAUAGUUAGGAUAGCCUUAUGCCUAU